GAUGAACGCUAGCGGCAGGCUUAACACAUGCAAGUCGAGGGGCAGCAUGAAGGUUAGCAAUAACCUUUGAUGGCGACCGGCGCAAGGGUGCGUAACGCGUGAGCAACUUGCCCGUUUCUGGGGAAUAACCGGUGGAAACGCCGACUAAUACCCCAUAGUAUUGAUUUCAGGCAUCUGUUAUCAAUUAAAGAAUUUCGGAAACGGAUAGGCUCGCGUGACAUUAGCUAGAUGGCGGGGUAACGGCCCACCAUGGCUACGAUGUCUAGGGGUUCUGAGAGGAAGGUCCCCCACACUGGAACUGAGACACGGUCCAGACUCCUACGGGAGGCAGCAGUGAGGAAUAUUGGUCAAUGGUCUGACGACUGAACCAGCCAUGCCGCGUGAAGGUGACGGCCCUAUGGGUCUUAAACUUCUUUUGUAAGGGAGCAAUAAGGUCUACGUGUAGAUUGAUGAGAGUACCUUACGAAUAAGCAUCGGCUAACUCCGUGCCAGCAGCCGCAGUAACAC
rnacentral:rRNA from 1 species